GGUUUCUUGGCGCAGUUGGUUAGCGCGUCUCCUUAACAAUUCUGAUCGUUCAGAUCGUUAGGGUAUACGGAGGAGGUCGCCGGUUCGAACCCGGCAGGAAUCU
rfam:Sporisorium reilianum SRZ2 chromosome 17 complete DNA sequence